UACAGAGGGUGCGAACGUUGUUCGGAAUCACUGGGCAUAAAGCGCACGUAGGCGGCACCGCAAGUGUGGAGUGAAAUCCCACGGCUUACCCGUGGAACUGCUUGGCAGACUGCGGUGCUAGAGGUUGGUAGGGGAGAGCGGAACUCUUGGUGGAGCGGUGAAAUGCGUAGAUAUCAAGAGGAACACCGGUGGCGAAGGCGGCUCUCUGGUCCAAUCCUGACGCUGAGGUGCGAAAGCGUGGGGAGCAAACAGG
rnacentral:rRNA from 1 species